rnacentral:rRNA from 1 species
AUUGAACGCUGGCGGCAGGCCUAACACAUGCCAGUCGAACGGUAACAGGAAGAAGCUUGCUUCUUUGCUGACGAGUGGCGGACGGGUGAGUAAUGUCUGGGAAACUGCCUGAUGGAGGGGGAUAACUACUGGAAACGGUAGCUAAUACCGCAUAACGUCGCAAGACCAAAAAGGGGGACCUUCGGGCCUCUUGCCAUCGGAUGUGCCCAGAUGGGAUUAGCUAGUAGGUGGGGUAACGGCUCACCUAGGCGACGAUCCCUAGCUGGUCUGAGAGGAUGACCAGCCACACUGGAACUGAGACACGGUUCAGACUCCUACGGGAGGCAGCAGUGGGGAAUAUUGCACAAUGGGCGCAAGCCUGAUGCAGCCAUGCCGCGUGUAUGAAGAAGGCCUUCGGGUUGUAAAGUACUUUCAGCGGGGAGGAAGGGAGUAAAGUUAAUACCUUUGCUCAUUGACGUUACCCGCAGAAGAAGCACCGGCUAACUCCGUG